rnacentral:rRNA from 1 species
UGGGGAAUAUUGCACAAUGGGCGCAAGCCUGAUGCAGCCAUGCCGCGUGUGUGAAGAAGGCCUUCGGGUUGUAAAGCACUUUCAGCGAGGAGGAAGGUGGUGAGCUUAAUACGCUCAUCAAUUGACGUUACUCGCAGAAGAAGCACCGGCUAACUCCGUGCCAGCAGCCGCGGUAAUACGGAGGUGCAAGCGUUAAUCGGAAUUACUGGGCGUAAAGCGCACGCAGGCGGUUUGUUAAGUCAGAUGUGAAAUCCCCGGGCUCAACCUGGGAACUGCAUUUGAAACUGGCAAGCUAGAGUCUCGUAGAGGGGGGUAGAAUUCCAGGUGUAGCGGUGAAAUGCGUAGAGAUCUGGAGGAAUACCGGUGGCGAAGGCGGCCCCCUGGACGAAGACUGACGCUCAGGUGCGAAAAGCGUGGGGCAGCAAACAGGAUUAGAUACCCUGGUAGUCCACGCUGUAAACGAUGUCGAUUUGGAGGUUGUGCCCUUGAGGCGUGGCUUCCGGAGCUAACGCGUUAAAUCGACCGCCUGGGGAGUACGGCCGCAAGGUU